AACAGGCUGUCGUGCAUCAUAAACGUGGCUAAACAAUUCAAUUUUUACAUAGGACGAAAGAACAGUUAUUUAGCUUUUCAAUGAUACUCUUUUUAAAUCGUAACGAUGAGAAAUGGCCACAUACUCGUCAAAUAAAAAUUGCCGGUCGAAAUCACAUUCUUCCACCGUUGGGAAUUGCAUGGAAAACGAAACAAACAAUUCCCAAGAGGGAAUUAAAAUUGAAUGUUAAAUUAUCUAAAAUAAGCUCAACUCGUCAAUCUUCGUCUUAGUGAGACAAUAACUCAAUACGAAUUUGGUACGAAACAUGGUUCAAUUAACCCCUGAACAGAGAACAUUCGUUAUCAAAACGUUUUAUGAAACAAAUAGCUUGCAGCAGGCUCGCGUUGCUUUUGGAUUGACUAACUUUGCAUAAUUAAUGUAUUUUCAAUUCCCAACGGUGGAAGAAUGUGAUUUCGACCGGCAAUUUUUAUUUGACGAGUAUGUGGCCAUUUCUCAUCGUUACGAUUUAAAAAAGGUACCAUUGAAAAGCUAAAUAACAGCUCUUUCGUCCUAUGUAAAAAUUGAAUUGUUUAGCUAAGUUUAUGAUACACGACAGCCUGUUGAAUUUCCGUAGCGUUUUUUCUUUGAGACACCCUGUAUAUAUAUAUAUAUAU